GCGAGAAUCAUUCACAAUGGGGGAAACCCUGAUGGUGCAACGCCGCGUGGAGGAUGAAGGCCCUAGGGUCGUAAACUCCUGUCAUAUAAGAGUAAGGCAUACGUGGUUAAUACCCGUGUAUGUUUGAUAGUAUUAUAAGAGGAAGGGACGGCUAACUUCGUGCCAGCAGCCGCGGUAAUACGAAGGUCCCGAGCGUUAUUCGGAAUCACUGGGCGUAAAGAGUACGUAGGCGGUUUGGUAAGUCAGGU
rnacentral:rRNA from 1 species